AGAUUUGAUCAUGGCUCAGAACGAACGCUGGCGGCAUGCCUCAUACAUGCAAGUCGAACGCAGGCUUCGGCCUGAGUGGCGCACGGGUGAGUAGCGCGUGGGAACCUACCCUUUUGUGGGGGAUAACCGAGGGAAACUUCGGCUAAUACCGCAUACGCCGGGAAACCGGGAAAGAUUUAUCGCAGAAGGAUGGGCCCGCG
rnacentral:rRNA from 1 species